rnacentral:rRNA from 1 species
CACGUAGGCACCAAGCGUUGUCCGGAUUUAUUGGGCGUAAAGCGCUCGUAGGCGGUUCGGUAAGUCGGGUGUGAAACCUCUGGGCUCAACCCAGAGACGCCACCCGAUACUGCCGUGACUUGAGUUCGGUAGGGGAGCGGGGAAUCCCUGGUGUAGCGGUGAAAUGCGCAGAUAUCAGGAGGAACACCGGUGGCGAAGGCGCCGCUCUGGGCCGAUACUGACGCUGAGGAGCGAAAGCGUGGGUAGCAAACAGG